CUGGAGAGCUUGUGCGGCGGCGUGCCGGUGAUCAGCUGGCCGUUCUUCGCCGCCCAGCAGACCAACUGUAGGUACCAGUGCAACGAGUGGGGUGUCGGCAUGGAGAUCAACAGCAACGUCCGGCGGGACGCCGUCGCCCGACUUAUCACGGAGAUCAUGGAAGGGGAGAAGGGGAAGAGCAUGAGGAAGAGAGCGCAGGAGUGGAAGGAGAGCGCGGUCAAGGCGGCCAUGCCCGGAGGCUCGUCUCACCGAAACUUCGACGAGCUGGUCUGCGACGUGCUCCUGCCCAAGAACUAG
rnacentral:rRNA from 1 species